UUAUGAAAUAAAUAAAUAAAUUUUUAUUGUAACACUAUAAUUAAUUUAAUUCAAUUGAAAAGAGCGAUUAAUGCAGAAACGAAAGGGAAUCACGCAAAGACGAGAAUCGACCUUAGUCGUUCGUUAAAUCUACAUAAAGCUACCCUUUUUCCUAAUUUAUCAGUUUUUUCAGUUCGUUCCGUUUUCAGUGUGAACUUCAGCCAAUCACAUUUCUUCAAACUUUGUUUACAUUUGUCCUAAUCAUGGAUGCCUCAUGGUAAUUCUUGGCGCUAUAUUUUAAAAUGAUUUGGAAAACUUUAUUAAUUCCUUGUAAUUUCCAUCGAGGAACUCUAAAUGGAGACAUUGUUGCUGGCUCUUAUUUGAUGAAGCUAGAAAGAUAGUUCAUUACAUUAAAGAAACGUCUGAGGGAUCCAGAAAACCACCAGCUAGACAUCAAAGAGACAUGAAAAUUGAGCUUUUAAGCCACUUCACAUUAUUGAAACUACAAUUCAUUUCAUUUGAUUAUAAAAAGAUUAACAUUUUUUAGGCUA